rnacentral:rRNA from 1 species
GCAUGGAGAGUUCAUUAAAGAGAGCAAUUUUGGUUACAGACGAGCAUGCGCUCCAUUAGCCAGUUGGCGGGGUAACGGCCCACCAAAGCGACGAUGGAUAGGGGUUCUGAGAGGAAGGUCCCCCUCAUUGGAACUGAGACACGGUCCAAACUCCUACGGGAGGCAGCAGUGAGGAAUAUUGGUCAAUGGUCGGCAGACUGAACCAGCCAAGUCGCGUGAGGGAAGACGGCCCUACGGGUUGUAAACCUCUUUUGUCGGAGAGUAAAGUACGCUACGCGUAGCGUAUUGCAAGUAUCCGAAGAAAAAGCAUCGGCUAACUCCGUGCCAGCAGCCGCGGUAAUACGGAGGAUGCGAGCGUUAUCCGGAUUUAUUGGGUUUAAAGGGUGCGUAGGCGGCACGCCAAGUCAGCGGUGAAAUUUCCGGGCUCAACCCGGAGUGUGCCGUUGAAACUGGCGAGCUAGAGUGCACAAGAGGCAGGCGGAAUGCGUGGUGUAGCGGUGAAAUGCAUAGAUAUCACGCAGAACCCCGAUUGCGAAGGCAGCCUGCUAGGGUGCGACAGACGCUGAGGCACGAAAGCGUGGGUAUCGAACAGGAUUAGAUACCCUGGUAGUCCACGCAGUAAACGAUGAAUACUAACUGUUUGCGAUACAAUGUAAGCGGUA